CAGAGGGGAUCGCAGUGGAGACUGCACUCGCUUCAGCAGUUACCAGCUCUGGUAAUAUCUGUUGAGCAACUGCUCCAUGGCAGGGCUGGGGAGGUGGCCCGUGAACAAAUUGGCCAGGGCAGGUCCCUGCUCCGACCUGUGGUGCUUGCAGUCACCGUCUGGGGAGGGACUGCAAAACCACACAGACAGUACGACAGACGGUGCACCAUGAGGAGAAGGUCUGGCUUCCAUGAACAUGUGCCACAGCGGGAGCAAAGUAAAUGAGAUUGGAGGGGGCCAGGAGGAAAUGACAUUGAAGCUCAGAGGAAGAGAAUUUAACCAGGACUGGACUGUCUUCCGGGGGCGAUCAGAGCAAAGGCGCUAAGAUGACAGGAGCCACUAUGCGUCUGAAGAAGCCAGACUUUAAUUGCUGAACUGCAUGGACCCUGGUUUACUGAACUUCGUAAAUCUAAAUCUACAGUUGGAUACCGUGCGUGGCACAGAAAAGACCUUCAAUAAAUGAUUUCUGGUUUCGUUUUGGUUUUGUUUUAUUUACUGCUUACUACAACCAAG
rnacentral:lncRNA from 10 species